ACGAACGCUGGCGGCGUGCUUAACACAUGCAAGUCGAGCGGUAAGGCCCUUUCGGGGUACGACGAGCGGCGAACGGGUGAGUAACACGUGGGUGACCUCGCCCUCAGCUCUGGGAGUAAGCCUGGGAAACUGGGUCUAAUACUGGAUAUGACUCCACGGUGCAUGUCGGUGGGGUGGAAAGCCUUGUGCGGCUGAGGAUGGGCCCGCGGCCUAUCAGCUU
rnacentral:rRNA from 1 species